GACGAACGCUGGCGGCGUGCCUAAUACAUGCAAGUCGAGCGGAAAUUUUAUUGGUGCUUGCACCUUUAAAAUUUUAGCGGCGGACGGGUGAGUAACACGUGGGUAACCUACCUUAUAGAUUGGGAUAACUCCGGGAAACCGGGGCUAAUACCGAAUAAUACUUUUUAACACAUGUUUUGAAGUUGAAAGACGGUCUUGCUGUCACUAUAAGAUGGACCCGCGCGCAUUAGCUAGUUGGUGAGGUAACGGCUCACCAAGGCAACGAUGCGUAGCCGACCUGAGAGGGUGAUCGGCCACACUGGGACUGAGACACGGCCCAGACUCCUACGGGAGGCAGCAGUA
rnacentral:rRNA from 1 species